rnacentral:rRNA from 1 species
GGGAAAUCUUGGGCAAUGGGCGAAAGCCUGACCCAGCGACGCCGCGUUGGGGAUGAAGCCCUUCGGGGCGUAAACCCAUGUUGUAGGGGACGAAGAAAGUGACGGUACCCUACGAGAAAGCCCCGGCCAACUACGUGCCAGCAGCCGCGGUAAACCGUAGGGGGCGAGCGUUGUCCGGAAUUACUUGGCGUAAAGGGCACGCAGGGGGUACGCCAAGUCGGGGUUGUAA